UACGGAGGGUGCAAGCGUUGUCCGGAAUCACUGGGUGUAAAGGGUGUGUAGGCGGGUCGGUAAGUCAGAGGUGAAAGCCUGCGGCUCAACCGCAGAACGGCCUUUGAUACUGCCGCUCUUGAGUGCUGGAGAGGUCACUGGAAUUCGUGGUGUAGCGGUGAAAUGCGUAGAUAUCACGAGGAACACCGGAGGUGUAGACGGGUGACUGGACAGCAACUGACGCUGAGGCACGAAAGCGUGGGGAGCAAACAGGAUUAGAAACCCCCGUAGUCC
rnacentral:rRNA from 1 species